rnacentral:rRNA from 1 species
GAUGAACGCUGACAGCAUGCUUAACACAUGCAAGUCAACUUGAAUUUGGGUUUUUAACUUAGGUGUGGGUGGCGGACGGGUGAGUAACGCGUAAAGAACUUGCCUCACAGCUAGGGACAACAUUUGGAAACGAAUGCUAAUACCUAAUAUUAUGAUAAUAGGGCAUCCUAUAAUUAUGAAAGCUAUAAGCGCUGUGAGAGAGCGUUGCGUCCCAUUAGCUAGUUGGAGAGGUAACGGCUCACCAAGGCGAUGAUGGGUAGCCGGCCUGAGAGGGUGAUCGGCCACGAGGGGACUGAGACACGGCCCUUACUCCUACGGGAGGCAGCAGUGGGGAAUAUUGGACAAUGGACCAAGAGUCUGAUCCAGCAAUUCUGUGUGCACGAUGAAGUUUUUCGGAAUGUAAAGUGCUUUCAGUUGGGAAGAAAGAAAUGACGGUACCAACAGAAGAAGUGACGGCUAAAUACGUG